AUGCAACGAAACUUUAUAUUGAGUUAUCGUAAAAGUACUAUGUCUAAAUGUUUUCAAGCAGGGCGGGACACUUCAUGUGGGAAGACCAUCGUAUCAGCACAUACAAAGGUACUAGAGGAGGAACAGCAAUCUCUAUCAGUGCCUGUGAUGAUCAUCAAAAUUCUGGAGAUACAACAGUUAGUAUUCGUAUAUACAAAUAGCACACUUACCGAACCUAGUAGCUUUUUUCAAACCAUGUAUUUGUCCUAAGAAAUACAUUAAAUAUGUACAAAUUAUUAAUUUAGAACCUAGUAACUUAAAAGGAAUAUAAUCCCCAACGCAUAAGGUUCAAAUCCUGGCUCUGCCUCUGUUAACACUAAAUGCUCUAAGCAAAUUAAAGAGACUCCUGCUAAACAACUAAUGUAAGUAUACUAACACGAUUGAGCCGUUAUCAUAACUAGUUUGAAUUGCCUGUAUAGGUCUUUUAUUUCUAUUGUGUUCUGCUAUAUACUAAAACACAAUUAUUUCGAGAGAUUAUAGAUAUGUUCACCUCUAACACCUUCAAUCAUCAAACUGUCGCACCUUGGAUUUCUGCAGGCUUUCACAGGCUUUCCGACAGGUGCCCUGACAUAUAGUUUCAUCAAAACAUUGGAGCAAGAGACCAAAUUGACUUACGGACGCUUACUUAUGAGUAUGCACAAUAAGAUUCAUGAAGCACAGAAAGGAGUAGGCAUGAAUGGUGCAAAUGAAACUCAGGUACGCUUUUAUGAUAUUGUCAAAAAAAAGUCAGUGCAGCAUUGCAUCACCAUCGUCUAAUGCAUUUUAUUGGUCUUGCCCAGGAGCCUCAAUUAUCCGCGUCUGAGCAGUUUGAUAUUCACUCGAAGAUGGUGGCUUUGUAGGAACUUAAAAUAUCCAACUCCAGCAAGAGUACAACUUCCCUGGCAUAAUCUUGUUAUAAUAAAUCUCAGAACUUCUUUUACCAUAUUUGGUUAAGUACUGUGUGACUAAGGCUUCAGUUGCGUAUAGAUUCACUCUUAUACUAAUGUUUGGAAGUGAAUCAUUGUCAUAUAUUUUCCUAUAAACUUUAAUAAUAUUAAAAUAAAGCCCCUAAGAUGUGUUAUUGUCUUGUUAUUUACUGGCCCCUGUCAAAGUGAGCUUUUGGCAGUAGACCUGUAAGCCAAGUUUGAUCAAGUCUGACUCUCAAGCGUAUUAAAUGGCAGUCAGCACACAAUUUUUUGCAGCCUUUCAGAUAAUAUCAAGAGACAUCUCAAGCACAAGCUUUUAACAGAAAGCAGAUUCUUAGAUAAAUGAGAAUAAGUUUGCGAUAAAAUGAUAAGAGCAGCAAAAGAAUCUACGUACAUCAUAGGUUAUGGAUUAGAAGUCAUUUUGAAUCUUGAAACCAGCUUCUCUCAUGAGGAAGUAAGACUGUCUAUAUUCGCCUUUCCCUGAGCCCGCCUGGCACUGAGGUCCUCCGUUAUUCUUUAUCCCCUCCUCUUUUAAAUGAAACACAAAUUUCUUCCUCUCUUAAAGUCAAUAAAAAUAGAUUCUCCUGCACUCUUCCUAGUUUGGUUAGCUUACGAAUCUUUUAUGCAAUUGGCAUUCCUCUUGCAGAUGAGUCUCAUCUAUAUCAAAAACAUUUUUGGCCUUGGAUGGUGCAAUUAUUAUUUUGAAUUGGUAAAGAUUCUGCAACGAAAACUAGUUAAACUCACAAAAGUGUCCAAAUGUAUUGCGACUCAUUAAAAGUGAAAUGCAGAUUUGCGUCCCUUAAGGCUGCAUUCAAAUUCAUACUGACUAUAUAUCAGAUAGUUGGGAUAGCUCUAGCAGCAUGUAAAGGAGAUCAACUACACAUAGACAAUUAAAAGAACUUCUCAUUCACAAGGUCGAAUUGUGCUUAUUCAUAAGACGAAAACCUAAGUUGAAAUCUCAAAGUUACAUGAUUGAUCAACCAAGCAUACUAUGCAGAAAGAAUUCAUUUGACAAGUUCAUGCAACUAGUAUUCAAAAAUAUGUUUGCCAUCCAUGAGCUCCUCAAUCUCUUAUGCUAGUAAUCCAUAAAUAUUACUCUGUAUAAUCUAGUGGAGGCCAUUGGCCGAGAAGCACUUUGAUAAGAUGAUAAAAUCCAGUUUUAAGUUCCAAUUAAUCCAGCUAACCCCUCCUGCAAGGCCAAAAUAAAGAAACCGGAGCAGACAGGGGAAAAGAAAUCUAUCGACUAUAGCAUUUGGACAUCAAGACAAACUUUUGUUUUGUUAAAUAUCGCAAGAUCACAUGAAGAGAGAACGAUACAUCUAGAAGGACUAGAUGAUGCUCAAACUAGUGCACAUUAAUCAAUCCAGAUUAACGAAGACGUAGACCACAUAUUCAUUUUCUUAGUGGCUGCCAAUAUUAAUUUUCUACAACCAAGGACGAAACAAGAUCAUUAAAGAAGAUUAUUUUCUCUUAAUGUAACAAUUCCUCAGGCAACGUGAUAUACAUAAAUUGUCUAGCGAAAUUCGGAUUCUCGAAAAUAUUAAUUCUUCGUGAUAACACUAAGAUGAUUCUUUGACUACAGAAGUAGUGAAUUAAUGCCCAUCCCACGAAAAAUUAGCAUAUAUUCCAUUCUUUACAUGCAACCAGCAAGCUGGCAUUCUAUGUUGUUCCAAUAUCCUAAAAAGAAAGAUACAACACGGUUGAGGUAUACUCCCUCCAUUUCAAUUUGUUUGAAUCUUUUUGGAGUACAAGGGGCCAAAUUGACUAAUUUUCUAUAUGAAUUGGGCUGUAGAUUCUUUAAGUUUUUGAAAUAAAAUUUACGUAUCUAGAAAUUACAUAAAAGGUACUAAAAGUCAUAGAAACUUUAUUUUGUUCUGAAUUUCUAUUCUAGUAGGACUCUCUUUCUUGAACAAAGGGAAAAAGAGGAUUAAAUAUCCUUCAUAUGCCUUAUCCUUUUUUUGAAAAGAAGUCUUACACUUUUAUAAAUUGAGGAUUUCUGAUUCUCAAAACAAUAACAAUAAUAGCAUCCAAAAUGUAGUUAUAAAGAGUCUUGUUUAGGGUAGAUUUUUUUCUCAAAUCUCAAGGUUCUGAAAGAAUAUAAAACUCAAUCAUGAUAAAGGAUCAUACCUUUCAGAAUAUAAAAGAUAGAAUCUACUAUGCCGAAAGACGCAAAAUAGAUUGAUUCUUGUUUCUCCAUCACCACAUCUGGAAGAGAAUAAAAAGCUUUAUACAAAGAAUAAUAAGGAGAUAAACUAAUGAGUAAAGUCGUAGAUUAG
rnacentral:lncRNA from 1 species